rnacentral:rRNA from 1 species
AGUUGCGAACGGGUGAGUAACGCGUAGGUAACCUGCCUUGUAGCGGGGGAUAACUAUUGGAAACGAUAGCUAAUACCGCAUAACAAUGGAUGACACAUGUCAUUUAUUUGAAAGGGGCAAUUGCUCCACUACAAGAUGGACCUGCGUUGUAUUAGCUAGUAGGUGAGGUAAUGGCUCACCUAGGCGACGAUACAUAGCCGACCUGAGAGGGUGAUCGGCCACACUGGGACUGAGACACGGCCCAGACUCCUACGGGAGGCAGCAGUAGGGAAUCUUCGGCAAUGGGGGCAACCCUGACCGAGCAACGCCGCGUGAGUGAAGAAGGUUUUCGGAUCGUAAAGCUCUGUUGUAAGUCAAGAACGGGUGUGAGAGUGGAAAGUUCACACUGUGACGGUAGCUUACCAGAAAGGGACGGCUAACUACGUGCCAGCAGCCGCGGUAAUACGUAGGUCCCGAGCGUUGUCCGGAUUUAUUGGGCGUAAAGCGAGCGCAGGCGGUUUGAUAAGUCUGAAGUUAAAGGCUGUGGCUCAACCAUAGUUCGCUUUGGAAACUGUCAAACUUGAGUGCAGAAGGGGAGAGUGGAAUUCCAUGUGUAGCGGUGAAAUGCGUAGAUAUAUGGAGGAACACCGGUGGCGAAAGCGGCUCUCUGGUCUGUAACUGACGCUGAGGCUCGAAAGCGUGGGGAGCGAACAGGAUUAGAUACCCUGGUAGUCCACGCCGUAAACGAUGAGUGCUAGGUGUUGGAUCCUUUCCGGGAUUCAGUGCCGCAGCUAACGCAUUAAGCACUCCGCCUGGGGAGUACGACCGCAAGGUUGAAACUCAAAGGAAUUGACGGGGGCCCGCACAAGCGGUGGAGCAUGUGGUUUAAUUCGAAGCAACGCGAAGAACCUUACCAGGUCUUGACAUCCCGAUGCUAUUUCUAGAGAUAGAAAGUUACUUCGGUACAUCGGUGACAGGUGGUGCAUGGUUGUCGUCAGCUCGUGUCGUGAGAUGUUGGGUUAAGUCCCGCAACGAGCGCAACCCCUAUUGUUAGUUGCCAUCAUUCAGUUGGGCACUCUAGCGAGACUGCCGGUAAUAAACCGGAGGAAGGUGGGGAUGACGUCAAAUCAUCAUGCCCCUUAUGACCUGGGCUACACACGUGCUACAAUGGUUGGUACAACGAGUUGCGAGUCGGUGACGGCGAGCUAAUCUCUUAAAGCCAAUCUCAGUUCGGAUUGUAGGCUGCAACUCGCCUACAUGAAGUCGGAAUCGCUAGUAAUCGCGGAUCAGCACGCCGCGGUGAAUACGUUCCCGGGCCUUGUACACACCGCCCGUCACACCA